rnacentral:rRNA from 1 species
CCCCUAGAUGUUCUGGGCCGCACGCGCGCUACACUGAACAGUUCAACAAGUCUUAACCUUGGCCGAUAGGUCUGGGUAAUCUUUGAACGCUGUUCGUGAUUGGGAUAGACCUUUGCAAUUAUGGGUCUUCAACGAGGAAUUCCUAGUAAACGCAAGUCAUCAGCUUGCAUUGAUUACGUCCCUGCCCUUUGUACACACCGCCCGUCGCUCCUACCGAUUGAAUGAUCCGAUGAAUACCAUGGAUUGAGAGUACGAAUGGUUUCGAUCAUUUCUGCUGCUCGAGAAGUGGAGUAAAUCUUAUCAUUUAGAGGAAGGAGAAGUCGUAACA